rnacentral:rRNA from 1 species
GAUGAACGCUGGCGGCGUGCUUAACACAUGCAAGUCGAACGAGAAAUGGAGACGGAAACCUUCUGGCGGAAGGCUUCUUUUCGAGUGGCGGACGGGUUCGUAACUCGUGGGUAACCUUCCUCUUUCAGGGGGAUCACAGUUGGAAACGACUGUUAAUACCGCAUAAGACCACAGCACCGCAUGGUGCGGGGGUAAAAACUCCGGUGGUAUGGGAGGGACCCGCGUUCGAUUAGCAUGUUGGCGGGGUAACGGCCCACCAAAGCGACGAUCGAUAGACGGUCUGGGAGGAUGACCGGGAACGGUGGGACGGAGAAACGGAACAAACUACUAGGGGAGGAAGGAGUGGGGGAUAGAGAAGAAUGGGGGAGAACGUGAUGCAGCGAGGCCGGGUGAGUGAAGAAGUACAUCAGUAUGUAAAGAAGUAUCAACAGGGAAGAAAAUGACGGUACCUGAGAAAGAAGACCCGGCUAACUACGUG